rnacentral:rRNA from 1 species
AUUGAACGCUGGCGGCAGGCCUAACACAUGCAAGUCGAGCGGAUGACGGGAGCUUGCUCCUUGAUUCAGCGGCGGACGGGUGAGUAAUGCCUAGGAAUCUGCCUGGUAGUGGGGGACAACGUUUCGAAAGGAACGCUAAUACCGCAUACGUCCUACGGGAGAAAGCAGGGGACCUUCGGGCCUUGCGCUCUCAGUGGGGCCUAGGUCGGAGUAGCUAGUAGGUGAGGUAAUGGCUCACCUAGGCGACGAUCCGUAACUGGUCUGAGAGGCUGAUCAGUCACACUGGAACUGAGACACGGUCCAGACUCCUACAGGAGGCAGCAGUGGGGAAUAUUGGACAAUGGGCGAAAGCCUGAUCCAGCCAUGCCGCGUGUGUGAAGAAGGUCUUCGGAUUGUAAAGCACUUUAAGUUGGGAGGAAGGGUUGUACGUUAAUACCGUGCAAUUUUGACGUUACCGACAGAAUAAGCACCGGCUAACUCUGUGCCAGCCGCCGCGGUAA